UACGAAAGGGGCUAGCGUUUUUCGGAAUUACUGGGCGUAAAGCGCACGUAGGCGGCCUUGUAAGUUGGGGGUGAAAUCCCGGGGCUCAACUCCGGAACUGCCUUCAAGACUGCAAAGCUAGAGGACGCGAGAGGUUAGCGGAAUUCCGAGUGUAGAGGUGAAAUUCGUAGAUAUUCGGAAGAACACCAGUGGCGAAGGCGGCUAACUGGCGCGCUUCUGACGCUGAGGUGCGAAAGCGUGGGGAGCAAGCAGG
rnacentral:rRNA from 1 species